GCGGGGAUCGCCUAGCCUGGUAGGGCGUGGGAUUGCUAAUCCCAUGUCCGCAAGGACACGGGGGUUCAAAUCCCCUCCCCGCGCCA
rnacentral:tRNA from 1 species